rnacentral:rRNA from 1 species
GACGAACGCUGGCGGCGUGCCUAAUACAUGCAAGUAGAACGCACAGUUUAUACCGUAGCUUGCUACACCAUAGACUGUGAGUUGCGAACGGGUGAGUAACGCGUAGGUAACCUGCCUGGUAGCGGGGGAUAACUAUUGGAAACGAUAGCUAAUACCGCAUAAUAUUAAUUAUUGCAUGAUAAUUAAUUGAAAGGUGCAAUUGCACCACUACCAGAUGGACCUGCGUUGUAUUAGCUAGUAGGUGAGGUAACGGCUCACCUAGGCGACGAUACAUAGCCGACCUGAGAGGGUGAUCGGCCACACUGGGACUGAGACACGGCCCAGACUCCUACGGGAGGCAGCAGUAGGGAAUCUUCGGCAAUGGACGAAAGUCUGACCGAGCAACGCCGCGUGAGUGAAGAUGGUUUUCGGAUCGUAAAGCUCUGUUGUAGGAGAAGAACGGGUGUGAGAGUGGAAAGUUCACACUGUGACGGUAUCUUACCAGAAAGGGACGGCUAACUACGUG